rnacentral:rRNA from 1 species
UACGUAGGGUGCGAGCGUUGUCCGGAAUUAUUGGGCGUAAAGAGCUCGUAGGCGGUGUGUCGCGUCGGCCGUGAAAACCUGCAGCUUAACUGUGGGCGUGCGGUCGAUACGGGCAUCACUGGAGUUCGGCAGGGGAGACUGGAAUUCCUGGUGUAGCGGUGAAAUGCGCAGAUAUCAGGAGGAACACCGGUGGCGAAGGCGGGGCUCUGGGCCGAUACUGACGCUGAGGAGCGAAAGCGUGGGGAGCAAACAGG